rnacentral:sRNA from 1 species
GCUGGGCAUGGUGGCAGAUGCCUGUAAUCCCAGUGACUCAGGAAGCUGAGGCAGGAGGAUUGUCAAGUUCAAGGCCAGCAGCCUCAGCAAUUUUUUAGCGAGGCCCUAAGUAAUUUAGUGAAACCCUGUCUCAA